CUCGUAGGCGGUUUGUCGCGUCGGGAGUGAAAACACCGGGCUUAACUCGGUGCUUGCUUUCGAUACGGGCAGACUAGAGGCAUUCAGGGGAGAACGGAAUUCCUGGUGUAGCGGUGAAAUGCGCAGAUAUCAGGAGGAACACCGGUGGCGAAGGCGGUUCUCUGGGAAUGUCCUGACGCUGAGGAGCGAAAGUGUGGGGAGCGAAC
rnacentral:rRNA from 1 species